CUCGUUUUCAUUAUUGCCCACGCUAUCGGCUUCCCUACCUUUGUUGCUUGUACUGAAAAGUGAAACAACUAUUUUCAGCAAACAUGUCGUAUAAAGACGCCAGAAUUUACGUCGGAAAUCUACCACCAGACAUCCGCGAAAGAGACAUCGAAGAUUUAUUUUUAAAAUAUGGAAGAAUUAUCUACGUCGACUUAAAGAACCGGAGAGGACCACCAUUUGCUUUCGUUGAAUUUUCCGAUCCAAGAGAUGCUGAAGAUGCUGUUCAUGCUCGAAAUGGAUAUGGCUAUGAUGGCUACAACCUGAGAGUGGAAUUUCCUCGUGGAAGUGGAGGAUACAGAAUGGGUGGUGGUGGUGGUGGACAACAACGUUCAGGAGGUGGUGGUAUGGGUGGAGGAGGUGGCAGAGGCAGCUUUGGACAGGGCCGCUUUUCAGCUUCACGUAGAUCAGAGUAUCGAGUAUUAGUAUCAGGGUUACCACCUACAGGAAGUUGGCAAGAUUUGAAAGACCACAUGCGUGAGGCUGGAGAUGUUUGUUAUGCUGAUGUCUACAAAGAUGGAACAGGAGUAGUGGAGUAUUUACGCCAUGAUGAUAUGAAAUAUGCCGUCAGGAAACUGGAUGACACCAAGUUUAGAUCACAUGAGGGAGAGACAUCAUAUGUGCGUGUAAAAGAAGACAAAGGAGGUCGCUCUCGUAGUCGCAGUCCAAGAGGAUCAUCUCCACGUUACGACCGGUCACGAUCACGAUCAUAGAGUGAUCAACAGAGUACAGCAAAGUGCUGGUAAAAUUCAUUUUGAGAAGUUGGUGGAAAGCCAGGAAAAUAAGAAGUAAUGUGACAUAUACAAGGAGCACUCCAUGUUUCCUCACAGGAGAGGUGGCUUUUGCUCUGUGAGAUCCCUGGACAUAAAAGACUUUUCACUUUCUAAGCAAUGGAGGGCUUCAGACUAUGGUCUAAGCUUGUAAUACUCGGGAAGGAGUGAGUUCACUCAGAGGAAGCAAAUUGAGAUAAUGGUAUUGGAUUCAAUCUUUGGAAAUACUGUCCUCCCCAUAUUCCACUCGGAUAGAAUCUUUUGGAACCUCUCCUUGGGAUUGCGGGGUAGAGCUUUGUUGGAUCAACAUAGCGGAAAAAAUGUCCCAUAAGGAUAAAAUUCUGUUUGGAUCCACUCUUGGAUUUACCAGUAUUCGCAAAAAUCAUAUUUCUUUGGAAAAGAGGGAAAAUUUCAGGAAUCAACUCUAUCAAAAUUUUGACAAAUGGGAGAGCUCUUGGGAACUAGCACAGGGAGAGAUGGAAACAAGGAAACAGGAGAAAACCAUAUUUUUCUUUAUAUUGUUUAUUGAAUUCUUAAAACUUUAUAUUGCCUGUAUAAAGUUUUUGUGUUUCAAGCUGCUUUAGUAUAAAUGUAUUUAUUCUAAAACAACUCUUCAGGAAUUCAUAAAAUAAUGUUUUUUCUCUGAAAAGAUCUUAUUUGAAAAAUUCAAAUUCAAAUUUUAUGAGAACAUAAUUUUUUUGAUCGCAAAGAAAAAUAUAGCUCCUUCUGGACCCUGUCUGUGUUUGGAAAACAUCCCCCUGGAAAACUGAAUCCAAUAUCAAAUUAUAGGAUCUUGUGGAUCUUUGGAAGGGUGGAUCGCUAUAGGAUCAGGCUGUGUACAGGCGUGGACUACUCGAGUACACAGUAGGAUUGCUAUAGGAUCACAGUAGGAGGAAAAGAUCUAGGAGAGACCCUUUCUCUUGGAUCACUACAGGAUCUUACUAGGAUCACUGAUGGAUCUUAGGAUAUGUCUAAGAGUUCCUAGGAUCACAAACUGAUUGAUAACAAAUCUUAGAACAUGUCUGCCUUAGUAUUGCUAAGAUUGUUGAUAGGUCUUACUUGGAUCUUCAGAAUUGUCUACUUUAAAAUAGUAAGGAAUGCUGACAGAUCUUUGGAAACAAAUAGCUUAAAUAAUUAGUCACUGGCAGAGAUCACUUGGAGUUUGGGAUACCUGUAGUAUAGAUAGCUAGGAUCUUCAGAAACAUCUAACUUAGGAUCAAUGGCAGAUUUUGCUAGGAUCAUCGGAAACAUCUAGCUUAUAUAAACUAGGAAUCUUGGUCUAACCAUGCUAUGAUCAUCAGAAACAUCUACAUUUGUAACUUGGGAUCAUUGACAAAGUUUGCCAAGGUUUUGGAAACAUCAGGCUGAAAAUAAAAAUCACUGGCAGAUUUUGCUCUGGUCUUUGGAAACAUCUAGCUGAAAAUAACUAGGAUUAUUUGUCGGAUCAACAGAAACAUCUGCAUUUGUAACUUAGGAUCGUUGACAGAUUUGGUAAGAAGUUUGGAAACAUCUAGCUUUAAAUGAUAAUUACUGGUGGAUUUUGCUUGGAUCUUUGGAAGCAUCUAGCUUAGGAUAACUAGGAUCAACAGAAACAUCUUACUUAAGAUCACUGACAGGUCUUGAUAGGAUCUCCGCUUCCGGAAACAUCUAGUUUUGAAUUACUGCGAUCGCUGACAUAUUUGCACAGAUCUUCAGAUGGAUCUUGUUUAGAUCACUGGGAAAGCUGGCGGAUUUUGCUCGGAUCUUCGGAUGCAUCUAGCUUAGGAUAACUAGGACUCUUUAGUCGGAUUAUGCUAGGAUCUCCAGAAACAGCUAGCUUAGAUUUUAUUAGAGAAUGCCAAGAUAUCUUGCUCGGAUCUUGGGGAACGUAAGAAUUACUAGGAUCGCCGAAGGAUCUUAGGAGGAAAAUAGAGCUAAAAUAACUAAGAACAAGGACAGAUCUUGAUCUGAUUGCUGAGGAUUCUUUGGAUACAUCUAGCUUAGAAUUGAUAGGAUACAUGUAGCUGACAAAUCUUGGAUUACUAAUAGACCAUAUAUUACUGGGAUUUCUGUUGGAUCUUGUGUGUCAAGCUUCUAGGAUCUGUACAGGGUUUUGAUGGGAUCACUGAAGGAAAUGUCAAAAAUGAGUUCCGUGAAUUUUUUAACUCGCCCUGUCCAAAGGAUUAAGGUGAACUUAUGACAUACCGUGGCAUCUGUCUGUCCGUCCGUUCGUCUGUCCGUCAGUCAGUCAACAAUUGACUUCUUCAUAACUGCUUAUCAGAAUUGAAAAAAAUUUGACUAGUAGCAUCAAUAUGGGGUGGGGAUUAGAAAUUGUACAAAUGAUUGGGCUGAGGGGCAGGGCCAAAAGGGAUCAAUUUGGCUAAAUUGAUAUAAACGACUUCUCUGUAACUAAGCAAUGGAUAUCGCUCAUAUUUGAUUUGUAGCAUCAUUAUGGGGUAGGGAUACUAAAUUUUACAAAUGGUGGGGCCUGAGGGCGGGGCCAAAAGUGGUCAAUUUGGCUAAAAUGAUAUGAACAACUUCUGCACUGAAACUAAGCUAUGGAUAUCACUUAUAGUUGACUGGUAGCAUCAUUUUGGGGUAGGGAUUCAAAAUUGUACAAAUGAUGAGGCUGACCCCCCUGUGGGCUACAGGCUGGGGCCAAAAGGGAUCAAUUUGGCUAAAUUGAUAUAAUCUACUUCUCUGAAACUGACCAAUGGAUAUCGCUCCUGUUUGACUGGUAGCAUCCUUAUGGGGUAGGAAAACGAAAUUGUACAAACGGUGGGGCUGACCCCCUGAGGGCAUGAGGGGCGGGGCCAAAAGGGGUACAUUUUGCUAAAUUGCUAUAAACAAUCAAUUGUCUGAAAGUAAGCGAUGAAUAUCUAUCAUAUUUGACUGGUAGCAUCCUUAGGGGGUGGGGAUUCAAAAAAUGUAAAUGGUGAGGUUGACCCCCUAGGGUGUCUAUUUGGCAAUAUUUAUAUUAAUGACUUCUCUGGAACUAAGCAAUGAUUGACAUUGAUGAUUUCAGUGGUAACAUCCCCAGGAGGCCCAGGGGUCUUUCCCAACACCAAGGGACUUAUAGCUUUAAUUACAAACAUGUUGGAUCUCUACUUUGUUUCUGGGUUAUAUCUUUGAAGCAGUUGAGAUCCCAACAAAAUAAUCAUACAUCAACAAAUAAAGUUAUUAGCAAAUGGAACAUAAACAUUAUUUUGAUGUUUGCUCAAAUAAACCAGCUGAGCAAUACAGGCCCUCUGGGCCUCUUGUUAGAAAUUGUGUGGUAAUGAAAAGUUCUAGGACACAAAUUACUAUUUAAGGAUCAGAAAAGGAUGACCGGAAAAGCCUUCUGUAAUAAAGACCAUUUAUAAUGCAUCAAAA